rnacentral:rRNA from 1 species
AGAGUUUGAUCAUGGCUCAGAAUCAACGCUGGCGGCGCGCCUAACACAUGCAAGUCGAACGAGAAAGUGGGGCAACCCAUGAGUACAGUGGCGUACGGGUGAGUAACACGUGGAUUAUCUACCUCUUUGUGGGGAAUAACCCUGGGAAACCGGGGCUAAUACCGCAUAAGCUCGAGAGAGGAAAGCAGCAAUGCGCUGAGAGAGGAGUCCGCGGCCGAUUAGCUAGUUGGCAGGGUAAAAGCCUACCAAGGCAAAGAUCGGUAGCCGGCCUGAGAGGGCACACGGCCACACUGGCACUGAAACACGGGCCAGACUCCUACGGGAGGCAGCAGUGGGGAAUCUUGCACAAUGGGGGAAACCCUGAUGCAGCGACGCCGCGUGAGCGAUGAAGCCCUUCGGGGUGUAAAGCUCUUUCGGCAGGGAAGAUUAUGACGGUACCUGCAGAAGCAGCUGUGGCUAACUACGUGCCAGCAGCCGCGGUAAUACGUAGGCAGCAAGCGUUGUUCGGAGUUACUGGGCGUAAAGGGUGUGUAGGCGGUUGCUUAAGUUUGGUGUGAAAUCUCCCGGCUCAACUGGGAGGGUGCGCCGAAUACUGAGUGACUAGAGUGCGGGAGAGGAAAGUGGAAUUCCUGGUGUAGCGGUGAAAUGCGUAGAUAUCAGGGGGAACACCGGUGGUGUAAACGGCUUUCUGGACCGUAACUGACGCUGAAACACGAAAGCGUGGGGAGCAAACAGGAUUAGAUACCCUGGUAGUCCACGCCCUAAACGAUGCAUAUUUGGUGUGGGUCAUUCAGUUGAUCCGUGCCGGAGCUAACGCGUUAAAUAUGCCGCCUGGGGAGUACAGUCGCAAGGCUGAACUCAAAGGAAUUGACGGGGCCCGCACAAGCGGUGGAGCAUGUGGUUCAAUUCGACGCAACGCGAAGAACCUUACCUG